UACGGGGGGGGCAAGCGUUGUUCGGAAUUACUGGGCGUAAAGGGUUCGUAGGUGGCCAACUAAGUCAUACGUGAAAUCCCUCAGCUUAACUGGGGAACUGCGUCUGAUACUGGUUGGCUUGAGUGCAGGAGAGGAACGCGGAAUUCCAGGUGUAGCGGUGAAAUGCGUAGAUAUCUGGAGGAACACCGGUGGCGAAGGCGACUUCCUGGCCUGUUCUUGACGCUGAGGCGCGAAAGCUAGGGGAGCAAACGGG
rnacentral:rRNA from 1 species